UGGAUGUCAUCUAAGAAGAUUCUAGAAUUCUCACUCUCUAUGAAGUACAAAUGAGAGAAAGAAAAAGGGCUGUGGUGCUGACAGCUUUCAGGGAAUAAGAUGGAUUGGCCAGCAAGGUUUCAAUAGAGAGCCCUGGUCUAGGCUUGGAUAACCAGUGGGAUGCUGACGUGACUUGGUCUCUUCUGGUCAGAUCCCCACCAUGCAGGACACCAGGGAUUAGAGUUGUACCCUGCACCCUGGGGAAGUCACCAAACUCAGAUAUCAGGACUGUGUAGUGACUGUCAGAAGGCUGACCCCAAACUCUGAGAUUUCAAUCACUCCCAGGAAUUCCAUGGCAUGAGACUGCCAUCAGAGUAGCAGAGAGGCCAGACUUUGAGCUCACAAAGCCCAGGGUAGACACCAUUAAUGGGCUGGGCACCAGAAGACCCUCCACGAGUGUCUGCCAUGCAUCUGAAAAUAGGACAUGACGCUGAGUGGAGAGACAGCAAGAAGGCUCUGGAAAUUUUUUUGCCAGCUUAACAGAUAAUGUACAUAGAAUUAGAUUCAACUUGAGUUAUAGAGAAAAUAAGAGAUAAAAUAAAGAAAUGUAACAUUCUUUGCUUAUCCAACUUUCAAGAAUAAGAGCUAUUUUCCAUACAGUGGUGUUUGCCACUGAAGCGGAGAGUGGUAGUCAGCUUGGACUGCCAAACAAAAUAUCAUAGACUGGGUGGCUUGAACUACAAAUAUCUUUCUGACUGUUCUGGAGGCAGGGAAGUCCAAGGUACCGGCAAGGUCAUUGUGUCUAAGCCCAAAGCCAUGAGAUGGAGGAAUACACUCUUCCCUCAUUGAGGAGGGUUUCUGCAAGUGGAUUAAUCAGCCCUGUGUAUUCAUUCUACCACCAGAGCAACAAUUCAUUUUGAUUAUUAUGUUACGAAUACCAGCGACAUUCAAUAGACCUUGCAGAGAAAUGUAUAUGAGCUUGGGCAAAUAUCCACUGUAGCACACGAGACAGAUCAGAUAAUAAUAGCAGCUGCAGGUUCUGGAACAUCACAGAGUCCCUCCAUGAUACCCACUGAAUUGGAAUGUCAACCUGGUGAUGUAGUUCAUCCUUAUCACCUAAAAAAUUCUACAGUAAUGGCAAAUAUAGCACAUGUGUUUAAAAAUCAGUAUUCAUAUCACCUUUUGUACAGUCCAAAUAGCUUUAAUAGUGAAUGUCCAAGAGCCUUUACAUUAAUUGCUAAAUGCCGAUAGUAAGAAAGUAAAUGAAAUUUAACCCCAACCCUCCCUAGGGGCUGUGGGAUAUUUAAUAAUCCUAAGCCAAUUAAAAAUAGGCACAAAACCCUUAUUUUUUAUUUUCUCACUAAUAAACUACUGUCUCAAUGGGCCUCAGUUUACCACAAUUGAUUCUGAGUUAGGCAAGUUUUAAAUCAAAGCCUCAGUUGGUGGUUUGGUCAGCCUCUUGGUUGAACAAAGGGUCAUUUCCAUUUUUAUCACGUCCCCUCCACACUUCAAAUGAAAGAAACAAGAGCAGUGGGCUUUGCAGUUUGUGUGGCCAGGAUAUACCUGGCUGCCCCCAGGUGGCUCCAGCCAUGGGUCCUGCAUGGUCACAUCCAUGCUCCCCGCUAGCUCCCCGGCCAUUCUCACGACUUCAGCUUCUGGUAAUUUUAUGACAGAGUGAAUAAGGGAGAGGCACUAUUUCUAUUUUUUAAUGUCCUGUGUUGGACAUUAACUAGCAUCAUUUCUCCAUCUCCCCUGGAAACCCACUACUGUCUCCCUACUCAUGGAUAUAUUUGGGAUUGUAGCAAGAUGGAAACCAAGCCAGCGUGCUGCCUCCCUGCCGCGGACACUGCCAGUCCUCUUUCUCUGGGGAAAACUCCUUGCUGCUGCUUCUUCCUUUUCUCCCCCACCUGUUCUGAAAGGAACACAAAUGUCCUGAGUCCUCUAGUGAUGGGAAGAGAAUUGCAACUAGGCUGGUGCCUGUUCUUUGAGGAAGACAGCUGCCUUCCUGCCUGGCUUCAGCACCUGUCCCCAGUACACUGGUCUGUCGAGUUGGCCCAGAGGCAGCUUCACAUUUACAAGAACCACCAAGACUGUGCCAUCAAGAGAAACAGGGAAGACCUACGGCAUGUUUAUUCACAGUUGGUUGAGAAACAUCACAGAUGAAUGUGACUGUUAUUAGAAUUAUCCUCAUUAAUAGCAAUUGACAAGCAGUACCAUUAGCAGUACACAAGGCACAAAAUAAUUGAAAAGUACAUCUUUUUAAACAGAUUUUUGUUUCCCCAAGCCCAUUGUUACUCUGGAAAUUGCAACGGGCAACUUCUUUUUCAGGCAAUUUCCCUCCAUUACCCAGAGCAGGUGUAGCCUAAAAGAAAACAGUCACAGACUCGUUCGCAGCAAUAGG
rnacentral:lncRNA from 1 species